GAUGAAGAACGUAGCGAAAUGCGAUAAGUAGUGUGAAUUGCAGAUUUUAGUGAAUCAUCGAAUUUUUGAACGCACAUUGCGCCCCCUGGUAUUCCGGGGGGCAUGCCUGUCCGAGCGUCAUUGCUGCCCUCAAGCACGGCUUGUGUGUUGGGCCCCGUCCUCCGAUCCCGGGGGACGGGCCCGAAAGGCAGCGGCGGCACCGCGUCCGGUCCUCGAGCGUAUGGGGCUUUGUCACCCGCUCUGUAGGCCCGGCCGGCGCUUGCCGAUCAACCCAAAUUUUUAUCCAGGUUGACCUCGGAUCAGGUAGGGAUACCCGCUGAACUUAAGCAUAUCAAUAAGCGGAGGA
rnacentral:misc_RNA from 1 species